UACAAAAUUCGAGUGCAUCAGUUCUGUGU
rnacentral:piRNA from 1 species